rnacentral:rRNA from 1 species
GAGGUGGCAAGCGUUGUCCGGGAAUUAUUGGGGCGUAAAGCGCGCGCAGGCGGUUCUUUAAGUCUGAUGUGAAAGCCCACGGGCUCAACCGUGGAGGGUCAUUGGAAACUGGAGAACUUGAGUACAGAAGAGGAAAGCGGAAUUCCACGUGUAGCGGUGAAAUGCGUAGAGAUGUGGAGGAACACCAGUGGCGAAGGCGGCUUUCUGGUCUGUAACUGACGCUGAGGCGCGAAAGCGUGGGGAGCAAACAGGAUUAGAUACCCUGGUAGUCCACGCCGUAAACGAUGAGUGCUAAGUGUUAGGGGGUUUCCGCCCCUUAGUGCUGCAGCUAACGCAUUAAGCACUCCGCCUGGGGAGUACGGCCGCAAAGGCUGA